rnacentral:rRNA from 1 species
AUUGAACGCUGGCGGCAGGCCUAACACAUGCAAGUCGAGCGAGUGGCGGACGGGUGAGUAAUGUAUGGGGACCUGCCUGAUGGAGGGGGAUAACUACUGGAAACGGUAGCUAAUACCGCAUACCAUCAGCUGAACCCAUAUGGGAUUAGCUUGUAGGUGAGGUAAUGGCGCACCAAGGCGACAAUCCCUAGCUGGUCUGCGAGGAUGAGCAGCAACACUGGAACUGAGACACGGCCCAGACUCCUACGGGAGGCAGCAGUGGGGAAUAUGGCACAAUGGGCGCAAGCCUGAUGCAGCCAUGCCGCGUGUAUGAAGAAGGCCUUCGGGUUGUAAAGUACUUUCAGCCGGGAGGCGUUGCCGACAGAAGAAGCACCGGCUAACUCCGUGCCAGCAGCCGCGGUAAUUC